AAUGAACGUUGGCGGCGUGGAUUAGGCAUGCAAGUCGAGCGAGAACCCCGCAAGGGGGGACAGCGGCGCAAGGGACAGUAAUGUGUAGAUUAUCUGCCCUCGGGUCCGGGAUAGCCGCGGGAAACUGCGGGUAAUACCGGAUGACAUCUCCGGAUCAAAGGUGUGAUUCGGCCCGAGGAUGAGUCUACAUCCUAUUAGCUAGUUGGCAGGGUAAUGGCCUACCAAGGCGAUGAUGGGUAGCGGGUGUGAGAGCACGACCCGCGUCAUUGGGACUGAGACACUGCGCAGACACCUACGGGUGGCUGCAGUCGAGAAUCUUCGGCAAUGGGCGCAAGCCUGACCGAGCGACGCCGCGUGUGGGAUGAAGGCCUUCGGGUUGUAAACCACUGUCAGAGGGGUUGAAAUGCGGGUGGGUUCUCCCAUCUGUUUGACAUAGCCUCAGAGGAAGGACGGGCUAAGUUCGUGCCAGCAGCCGCCGUAACAC
rnacentral:rRNA from 1 species